UAUCUUUGCCCAUGCAACGGUUCGGGCAAACCACGUCCGAUUAAAAGGGAAUCAGGUGCAAGUCCUGAACAGUCCCGCUGCUGUAAGUUCCAUAGACUGAAGUGUCGCAAACCAUUCUUAGCCACUGGGAGGGUAUCUUGGGAAGGCGGUUUGUCGAUAGGAACAAGUCAGAAGACCUGCCGUGUGCCUUUGCAUUUUC
rnacentral:ncRNA from 20 species